rnacentral:lncRNA from 1 species
GUAAAUACCUAUAGCUGGACAGUUCAAAGAAAGGGCUUCAUAAUGUUCUUGACGGUUAAGUUCUUUGGUACAAGCUUUUUUUGAUUUCCCUGGAUUUCAGUCUGAUGUGCCUUUAGCCUCACAAAGUAUGCAUUAUUAUGUAAUAGUUACAUGUGAAAAGAAACCGGAAUCGCUGGCGGAGAAUCCUGACUAUUUCCACUGGGCCUGAAUAGUUCAGCCAGUUGAUUAAAAGAAAACCAGAACCUGGAAGUGCAGAAGACAAAUUCCUCUGGCACAAUGAGCUCUGCCAUUCCCGUGCGGGAUUCCACUGUCGAGAGGGCCACAAGAAGUUUUCAUAAUGAAAAACAAACCCUGGUUUCAGGUUGUCAUUUCCCCUCCCCUCUGGACUGGGGGCAGAGCAGGACUGGGUGGCACUCUCUCCCCGCCCCCCUGGGGGCUGGCCCGGGCCCCACUGUGCACCCUCCCAAC